AUGGCCGAGCAGUUCCGGCUCCACCAGCCCCGGGCGCCGCAGGCCUCCGGGCGUGAGCUAACAGACGCAAACGCUCUCAGAAGGAACAUUUGUUUAAAAAACAUUCUGAACUCCUCAGUGGCUGCCCUAGCUGGUCCCUCGGUCACUCGCUGUCACCUCCGACCGGACCGAGCUUCGCAGGGGUGUGGGGGCUCCGGAGGGCGUCCCCGCGGCGGGUCCGGCCGAGGGGCGCUGCCCGGCCGGUGCGCAGGAAGCAGCUCCGGCCACCCUGCGGCCGGGUCUUCGCGCCGCCCCCCGCCUCCCCUCCACCCCACGGCUGCAUCCCGCCCUCUCUCGCCCGGGUCCCUGCUGUCCCCGGCGCCCGCACAGGAAGCGUCCGCCUUGCGAUGGUCCGCGCUCAGGAGCAGGACCGGCCGGCGCCUCGUGCGCAGGCGCGCGUCAGCCCUGCGCGCCGAGGUCGCCUGGCGCCUGCGGGAUCCCGUAGCGCGUCGUCUCCAUGGCAACCGCGUGGGCGCCCCCGCCGCUGCCGGCCGUGUCGGUCAGCCGCCGCCCGCAGGACCCAACGUGCUGGCCGGACCCAGUGGCGCUGCAGACCCAGCAGGUUUAGGGGAGCCAGGAGGCCCCCGCCGGCUCACAGCAGGGUCCCCGCUGGCCCCCAGCAUCACCGCUCCUGCUGUGCUCCUGUGUGUUCUUCAAGGUGACAGUGACGUCCUGGAGCUCCGUGGGUCAGAGGGAGGGUGGAGGGUGUCAGUGGGAACCUUCUUGUAUUCCAGUUUUUACUCGGAAGUCAGGAUUUUUAAAAAGAGAUUUAUUAUUUAUUUUAUUUGAAAGGCAGGGUUACAGAGAGACACAGAGAUAGAGAGGUCUCCCAUCCUCUGGUUCAGUCCCCAGAUGGCCGCAAUGGCCAGAGUUGGGCCAGCGAGAAGCCAGGAGCUCCCUCGUGGGUGCAGGGUCCCGAGGACGUGGGCCAUCUCGCACGGCUUUCCCAGGCCACGGCGGGGAGCUGCAUGGGAAGUGGAACAGCAGGGGCUCAAAGCAGCGCCCUUACGGGAUGCUGGCACUGCAGGCGGCGGCUUUACCCGCUGUGCCACAGC
rnacentral:lncRNA from 1 species